rnacentral:sRNA from 1 species
ACCAGAGAGUUAUUUCUCAGCUCUCAAGAUUCCUAGAGCGAAUCCAGCCACAGACCUGAGAGGCGCAGGCUUCCUUGCCCUCCUGCAUCUGCUCUACCUGGUGAUGGACUCAAAGACCUUGCCGAUGGCGCAGGAGAUUUUCCGCCUGUCUCGUCACCACAUCCAGCAAUUCCCUUUCUGUUUGAUGUCCGUGAACAUCACCCACAUCGCCAUCCAGGCCUUGAGAGAGGAGUGUCUCUCCAGAGAGUGUAAUCGGCAGCAGAAGGUCAUCCCCGUGGUGAACAGCUUCUAUGCCGCCACAUUCCUCCACCUCGCACAUGUCUGGAGGACACAGCGGAAGACCAUCUCAGACUCGGGCUUUGUCCUCAAAGAGUUGGAAGUAUUGGCCAAGAAGAGCCCACGGCGGCUGCUCAAGACCCUGGAGCUGUACUUGGCCAGGGUGUCAAAGGGACAGGCCUCCUUGUUGGGAGCACAGAAGUGCUAUGGGCCAGAAGCCCCUCCCUUCAAGGAUCUCACCUUCACAGGUGAGAGUGACCUGCAGUCUCACUCAUCCGAAGGCGUAUGGCUGAUCUGACCUCCGAGAUGAAUGGAGGCUUAAAGGCUGAGC